rnacentral:rRNA from 1 species
UGGGGGAUAUUGCACAAUGGGGGGAACCCUGAUGCAGCGACGCCGCGUGAGCGAUGAAGUAUUUCGGUAUGUAAAGCUCUAUCAGCAGGGAAGAAAAUGACGGUACCUGACUAAGAAGCCCCGGCUAACUACGUGCCAGCAGCCGCGGUAAUACGUAGGGGGCAAGCGUUAUCCGGAUUUACUGGGUGUAAAGGGAGCGUAGACGGCAGUGCAAGUCUGAAGUGAAAGGCAAGGGCUCAACCCUUGGACUGCUUUGGAAACUGUGCUGCUGGAGUGUCGGAGAGGCAAGUGGAAUUCCUAGUG